UCCGGGGGGUGCAAGCGUUAUUCGGAAUCACUGGGCGUAAAGCGCGCGCAGGCGGCCGUUUAAGUCAGAUGUGAAAGCCCGGGGCUCAACCCCGGAAGUGCAUUUGAUACUAUUCGGCUUGAGUAUGGGAGAGGGAAGUGGAAUUCCUGGUGUAGAGGUGAAAUUCGUAGAUAUCAGGAGGAACACCGGUGGCGAAGGCGACUUCCUGGACCAAUACUGACGCUGAGGCGCGAAGGCGUGGGGAGCAAACAGG
rnacentral:rRNA from 1 species